GAUUGUAAGAACUUAAAAACAAUCGAAUAGUACCGGAUUGUUACAGUAGUUCUAAAUAAGCCACAACCCCUGUUACAACAACGUGUCCGAUUGAGACGACAUUGAUAAACAAAACCGAUCCGACAAUGAUUAGUUUCACAAACAAUCCAUGUAAUCAUCAAUAGAAUCGUUCGAAUCUGAUGAAAAAACUGGAGAGCAGGCCUUCCUGACUACUGUUGACUCGAACGAAACGAAUGAAAAAUUGCCAUCGAAUAAUCCGGUAGUGUACCAGCGUAACCAUAUUUGAUUAUUCGAUUCAAACCUACUUUUGCACAAUCCACGUUCACCGUCCACACCACUACUUCUUUGCUCCACAAAACAAAUCAAACCGAUAGUCUACAAGAUUCAAGGAGGUGAACAAUACGACCAUCAUGUUUUCAAUUCUGCAUCCUUUUCCGUCACCACCGUACCAUACCCCAUCGUACCGUGGGUUUUCGGCGCAGCCGAUAUGGCGUUUUCACGUCAACGACGAUGACCUGGCCCUGGGCCGGGAGAUCAAGGAGCAGGAGCAGAAUGAGGAGGAGGAAGAGGAUUAGUGGGAGGGGUUGAUUUGCAGGAGGACAACGUGAACGAUCGGCCCGGACGUUCCCAGGACCUGGGGUUUGAGCGUAUUGAUUGACCGCGCACAACAAGUGAGGGACCGGCGCACGCGCUCCAGCGACGGAAGCGCCGUCGAUGUCAGCAUCCGACGACCCGGCCUGCGCUUAAGGGAUCUCGAACAUUCCCAGGGACCCGUCGACUCACGCAACACGCUCGGAGCACGAUAUUUGUACGUCGCACGUCCUGUUGCUGUCAUAAUCUGACCGUUCCGGCCGCCAUCAGAUCGCCAUCAGCCAAGCCACCCACAAGAAUCGAAAUCGUUUGGAGGAGUUCGCAGCCGUUCCGCACACCAGGUGUGGUACAACGACGUGGUACAUCCGUUCGAUGCACAUGGUGGAUGCCGAACGUCGAGCUGACGGUUUACCGAAAUUUUUGUUUCUUCUCGCUAUCUUAAUAUUGAUUUGUUUUAUUUUGCAAGACGACAUUCUUCGCCGUCUG